ACAAAGUUAAGUUAUUUUGACUAUAUGUUUUCAAAACAUAAAGAGGGUUGUUAUCCCACUUUGUG
rnacentral:tRNA from 1 species